rnacentral:lncRNA from 1 species
GUUUUGGUUUCAUUCUUUAAGUUCAGCAGAAACCCCCUAUUAUAUUCAUAUUCUACCAAAAUUAUAAUUCUCUUUGCCUCUUUAAUCACAUCUAUUGCAUGCACAUACACGGCAACAAUUGCGUGGACAGAAAAUAAACAUUUGGAGCGUGAUUCUUAGAUCUUCUUUCAAAAUUCGUGGAUUAACGAGGUAGGAUACUAUGUGCAAGUGAUAUGUCGUUGCAAUAUUAUGAUUUUUAUACGUGAUUUAUUUCAUGAAAUGCUAAUUGACUUGCGGGUCCCUAUGAAAUGAAAUGUGAGAUCGCCUUCGAGUCUUCUCAAAUGUGUUAGAGCUUUCGAUUGAUCACUGAUUGCUUUUGAUGAAAUGAUGGUAUGGAAUGUUAUAGAUUCAUAUUUUAAAAGUUAUCAAAUUGUUUUGGACGCACGUAUCGUACUGAAUAUAAAUUACGCACUUCUUCCAUUUUAACUUUUCAGGUCAGAUUGGUCAACGUGGAUGAUGGCUGAGUGGUGCGCAGGUAUCCAAGUAAAAGAAAUUAUUUUAGGAAUCCAUAAUAAAUUUGUUAGGGCAUUUUAUGUUUCUCUUCAAUUCCAUUCAUGACGCUAUGUUUAUUUGAUUCAGUAUUUGAGUUUCAAUAAAUUAAGGUAUUAAAUUUUAAAUUUUAUUUACGCUUGAUGUAUGAUUAUGGAAUGAUAUCGGUAACUCCUCAAAUUUAAGUCAAUAAAAUUUGGGGCGUUACACAAACAUUGCAUGAACUAAAGAAGUACAAGCUAGGAUCCUUCUAAGACUUAACCAUAAUCCACUCGAUGAAAUUUUGGAUCAACAUUAAGCACGCCAUCUAAAUUUAGACAAUGAUAUAAAAGUCGAGAUCUUGACAUCUCUAGUUAUAAUUAAUGAAACAUAUAUCUCUUUGUAUAAAACAUGUAAUGUUCAGGGUACAAAUUUAACAGAACUGACCGCUUAAUUGAUUUGGCUCAAGACUAAAUUCUGAACAACUUUAUUACAUAUUUAUUGUAUUAAAAAAUUCAAUCAAAUGAUCCUAACAUUUUUUGAAUUUCUGAUAGGAACUAUAUCAGAAAGAAUAGGUCGAAAACUACGUGAGAUGGAUUUCAUGAAGGUUGAACCAAAUUCUGAUCAACUAAUGCAUAAUGAAAAAUCAGAGGUAAAAAAGCCUACCAAUCAAAUGAGAUGUAUUUUGGUCAUUAGAUUUGACGAAGUUUUACUAUAUUUAUGACUUUUGUAACUAUAUAUCUUUCUUUAUUUAGAUGUGAGACCCAAC